CGCCUCACCGUCGCCGAUCUCUUCGACUCUUCCCAGUCGCCUGGCCGAUCUCUUCCCGGCGUUCGCCUCGCCCGGCCCGUCCGACCUCUUUGUGUUACAAUGCCGCCAAAACAAUUGUCUGGUGCUGC